rnacentral:rRNA from 1 species
UACAGAGACUGCAAGCGUUGUUCGGAUUCAUUGGGCGUAAAGGGUCCGUAGGCGGUCGGUUAAGUCGGAUGUGAAAUCUCGUGGCCUAACCACGAGCGGUCAUUCGAAACUAAUCGGCUAGAGGGCUGGAGAGGAGACUGGAAUUUACGGUGUAGCGGUGAAAUGCGUAGAUAUCGUAAGGAAGACCAGUGGCGAAGGCGGGUCUCUGGACAGUUCCUGACGCUGAGGCACGAAGGUCAGGGGAGCAAACGGG